CCUACGGGGGGCUGCAGUGGGGAAUAUUGGACAAUGGGGGGAACCCUGAUCCAGUCAUGCCGCGUGUGUGAAGAAGGCCCUCGGGUUGUAAAGCACUUUCAGUGAGGAAGAACGCCUGGUGGUUAAUACCCAUCAGGAAAGACAUCACUCACAGAAGAAGCACCGGCUAACUCCGUGCCAGCAGCCGCGGUAAUACGGAGGGUGCGAGCGUUAAUCGGAAUUACUGGGCGUAAAGCGCGCGUAGGUGGCUUGAUAAGCCGGUUGUGAAAGCCCCGGGCUCAACCUGGGAACGGCAUCCGGAACUGUCAAGCUAGAGUGCAGGAGAGGAAGGUAGAAUUCCCGGUGUAGCGGUGAAAUGCGUAGAGAUCGGGAGGAAUACCAGUGGCGAAGGCGGCCUUCUGGACUGACACUGACACUGAGGUGCGAAAGCGUGGGUAGCAAACAGGAUUAGAUACCCGAGUAGUC
rnacentral:rRNA from 1 species